rnacentral:RNase_MRP_RNA from 18 species
UCUGGACUCCGGGGGGUGUCUGGUGCUAAUCGGACACCCCCUAGCCGCCACACUGACAGUUAUGGUUGCAAGACGAGCUUAGCGAGUCUGAACUUGACAGGGAUACUCUGCGGCGUUCC